GUAGCUAUGACAUAUGGUUGGAUGUCACUCAUAGCUUGUGAGUUUUUCUAGAUGAUUAAAUGUAGUCAUCAAAGAAGAAAGGUGAAUUAAAAUGAAGUUUUAAUUCACUAAGUGAUUGGAUUAAAUAUAAUCAAUUGGAUUAAUGUCAAUCACCUCACUGCCUUGCUAAUUAGAACCUAAAAUGAUUGUACACCGAUACACUCUUGUAGUGAGUAAUUAAUGGAUGAUGGAGAUAAUUAAUUGGAUUAAUUAAGUGUUGUGAUUAAUUUAGAAAGUCUAAAGAAAUCAUAAAAGCGAUAAAGGAUCGUUUUGGGCUUAAAGAAAAGUUCGGGUCUAAUUGGGCCCAUUGGGCCUAAACCCAUUGGGCUUUUAUUCAAGCAUUGGAUGACUAGAAAUAUAUAAAAGCCCAAAGCCCAAACCAACACAAAGGGGCCGGCCCUUGCAAGUGGAAAGGGAGAGAUAUUUAGUCAAGUUGUUGACUAGGUUUCUUUUUGUCUAUAUAAGGAACUUUAUAGAGUUUUAAUCCUUAGGGUUUUUGUGUGUUUUUGAACAACAAAGAGGCAAAAGAAAAAUAGCUCUCUAAAACCACAAAGGCCGGCCACCUAGAGGGUUUUUAGCUAACAAUCUUUCACCCUUUUGGUUAUUCCUCCAUCCAUCUCACUACACUAGUGGGUGUGGAUCUUUAGAGGUCUUCUCCUUUGGAGACUAAAGGAGAACCUUGGAGCACUCUUACUAACAAAGUGGAGGAGGUAAGGAGGGAGGCUAGGCUCAAGGAGUUCAAGGAACAAAGGGCUUGGAGGUGGUCCAUCCUUGGUCUCAAGUCUAGAUCAAGAGGUAUAGAUCUAAACUUUCACUUUGUUCUUUACUAAAAUGUUUUGAUGCAUUAUAUAUAAACCUAUGAACCUUGAAGGGGAUUUGCAUGACUAUAGCUUUGAUAUUAUUUGAUAAAUCGCUUCCGUUGCUCAUGUAUAUAAAUUUUGAAGUGUAUAUGCAUGCUAGUCAAUUAGAAAUCCCAUGUGUUAAUCUCAUAUUUUUCCCUUCAGAAAGGAUGAGAACACAAGCUCUCCUUUCUCUCUAAAGAAGCCGGCCACCCUAGAGGAACAUAGCUAGGAAUCUUACUUCCUUUAGGUCACUCAUUUCUUCAUCAAUCUUUCCUUGGUGUGGAGACUUAGAGGUUCUCAACUUUGAGAACUUGGAGAAACCAAUUCUUCCAUCCAAAUCCAUGGAGCUAAGAAGCAAGGAAUGAAGGCCCUAUCUCUUGGGUGAUUAUCCUUUGCUUAUGCAAAGAGGAAUCAACAAAGGUAUAAUUUCUCAACUCACUUUGUUUUGAGUUGAGUCUUGGUUCACCUAACUACUAGGCUUUGAAUUUAAUGGGUAAUGUUUUGUUUUGGGUGCAUGCAAGCAUGAUUCCGCCUUUAAUUUGUUAAUUGCAUGCUAUAGAUGUUGCUCAAAUGAACAUGUUUUCACAAAAUUUCCUUCAAGUGGUAUCAGAGCCUAGGUCUAGUAGUUGGUGAAUCCUUUUGGGUUUUGUAGUUCAUAGUUUUUUAUUUGAAUGUUGUAAUUGUUACAAGCUUUAUUCUUGCUUCUUUGAAUGUAAAUUUUGUUAGAAAAUUUGCCAUCUCAAAUGUUGUAGAUGUAGUUCAUAUGAGCAUGAAUUUUAGAGCUAAAAAUUUGGUGCCAUGUUUUUGGGGAAAUUCGGCCAAAUCCAAAGGGUGGAUUUUUGGGUUCUUGUUUGACUUGUUUAAAGUGUUUUAAGGUGACUUUUGGAACCCCUAAGUACCCUAGGAUGUUAACCCCAUUUUGAGUAGUGAAAAUUUGAGUUUUAUUGAGUGAAAAUGUUCAUGGAACUCUUAUGGGUUUUCAUGGGUGUUCUUCAUUGUUCUUGAGGUUCUUACCAAGAACAAAAAGGUUUGUUGUUUUGAUUCAAAGUUUUAGUUAAUUUCAUAAAGUCUUUGUUUUGUAUUGGUUGGUGUGACUUAUCUAUCAACAAGUCAUUUAAUCAAUUAUAAGGUGAUUGAAUUGUUGAUAAGAGUGUUUGAAUUAUGUACAUAAUUGAUUUUCUUCUUACACACAUGUUCCCACCAACCAAUUUCCACUUGCAUGGCUUUAUGACUUUGUUGAAAAAAAUUUCAAAAUUUUGAGGCUUCACUACUCCAAAACCGGCCACCCUACAAGUGGGGUGUUUUUGGGGCUUUUAUGCAAUUACAUAAAGUUUUUGAUACUUUUGUGUAUUUGCAGUUUGACCCAAAAGUUUACGUAUUUACGUAAAGGCCCAAAAUCACUAAAGGACAAAUUGUUUUGUUCCUUUAAUGAAGUUUUUGAAUUUAUUGAAAUUUUUGGGUUCUAGUUGUAAUUACAUGAAGUAAUGGACUUUUGUGUUUUUACAAAAUGAGCUCAAA
rnacentral:lncRNA from 1 species